UACAGAGGUCUCGAGCGUUGUUCGGAUUCAUUGGGCGUAAAGGGCGCGUAGGCGGCGGGGUAAGUCUGGUGUGAAAUCUCGGAGCUCAACUCCGAAAUUGCACUGGAUACUGCUCUGCUAGAGGGCUGGAGAGGAGAUCGGAAUUCACGGUGUAGCAGUGAAAUGCGUAGAUAUCGUGAGGAAGACCAGUGGCGAAGGCGGAUCUCUGGACAGCUCCUGACGCUGAGGCGCGAAAGCUAGGGGAGCAAACAGG
rnacentral:rRNA from 1 species